GUAUCUGAAUCUGGAGUUUAAGAGUUAAUACUUCACAGUUCGAAUAAACUCCCUUGAAGGUUUUUUUUGUAGAAGAUCUGAUGAAUUCAUUAGCUUGCUGUUCAUUUUAUUAAGCCCCAGAAGAAUUUCAGAGCAUUCUGGACUCAUUGAUAAGGUAGUUUCUUUGCUUAUUAUUACACUGUACCAGCUAAGCUGGGAACGUGGCUUCCCAGUGUAAAAUACCUUGGUGUUGAGCAGGUUGACAUAUCCUGCAUUGGCACAAAGUAGGUAAAGUUAGUUUGGCUGUACCUUCACAUGAUUCCCCAACUACUGAGCAUUCUGUGAGUAGCUUUAAUAUCUUCCCAAGAUCUUUCCCAUUCCUUGUGCUGAGCAUUGGCUAAUUCUAAAUUCUAUACUAAAUUUUCUCUGCAGUUAAAACUUGGUUUCAGAUUGCAGUACUGUAGAGUGCAGGUGAUCCCUCUUGAAGUACUUGCUGCAAGUGCUGUUAUUCCUGAACUGAAAAAAUAGCCUGUUGGGAAAUGUUGGUACCAGGUAACACCGACUUGGAAUAUCAAGCGUGCUAAAGAGGGCCUCAGCUUGUUUGGUGAAUGCUGCUUAUUUUCCCAGAAAAGUUUGGGGGUUGAUAACAUGCUACAACAAUGAAUUGCUCUUCAGGAAAUUCCCAAUUGGCAGUUCCUAAACUGCAGAGCAAGUAUUUGGGAGUUACUUGUAUUGGAUACUUAGUUUAAAAAUCAGCAGGACCGAUGCAAUUUGCUCGAUUGAAGUAGUAUUAACCAAUGCCUUAUGUUUUGUGGCGGGUGUUCGUGGGACACCCACAAAAGGUGAAGGUGUCUGAGCUGGGGAAUUCUGAACAUAAACAUUAAAUUAAUUUUUUCAGUUUAUUUUUCAGAUUACAUGUCAUUCUUUAUUAAAGAGAUGCCGGUGCAUAUCCUAAAGUAUGUUCUUUUGUAGUUCUGUAACUUGGAAGAGUGAAGGAUGCUGAUGUCCUUGUACCUUACAGAGCUUGUCUUUUGGUACCCCUGUUUUGUACGUAAGCUCCCGUUGCUAGGUGUUAAAAAUAGCUGAGUUGCAGAACCAUGAUGAGUGAGUAUUGAAAGAUUUGGCAGUUUUCAAAACAUCUGCAAGUUGCGUUAAACCUAGCUUUGUUGUAGCUGCAGAAGCAGAACUUCUAAAACAAGCUCUGCUUUGAGUUGCAUGUAUUAAAAAGGCAUACAAUUAACUAGCCAACUGCUUUUUUCAAGCCCUUUUUUUUUUUUAAGGUGGUGUCUUAAAAGCUGGCAAACAUGUCAACUUUAAAAUCUGCUAAAUGUGGGAGGUGAGAAAGUUCUGUUCCUUUGAUCUGUUCCUCUGAGGCUUUGGACUUUUUUCAUAAAACCAGAUUUAUAUAAUUGAAUCUUUAAAACCAUUUAGAAAAGUGCUUCGUUGGCCAGACCUGUUUUUGGGCAGUCUGGAUCACGUAACACAUUUUUGGACUGGACUUGGAGGACGUUGGCUGUUGCAAUUUAGCUUGCUUAAUCAAAUUUGUGAGCCCAUUUUGACACUUAGAUCUCUAAAAACUGCAGCAUGUAGAAACUGGUAUCGUUAUACAGAGAUCUUCACCCUUUGAUCAGAAAUGAAUACAGAAUAACCUUCUGGUGUAGACACAUGACACUAAUCAUUUAUACGGCUGAUGAGAAACUGAAACUGCUUUUGAGAUUUUGUGGUAUUUUUGUGGUAGAAAAACUCUUGGCUUCUCCUUGGCAACCAUUUACUGUGGCAGCAAGUUUUUGCUGGAGUUUUGAGACUGCAAUUUACACUUGUAACUAGUGGCCUGCUACAUAACUGCACUUAGCCAGCAUUUCUGCAGUUCAUAACUGUGAGGAACGUAGUACCACAAAUGGCAAUGGACAUUAGGACCCGGAUGUAGUAUUCCUGCUUGCUCCAAGAUUCUCAUUGCCGACUGCGUACAGGUAGGUAACAAGCAAUAUAAUAUAACUUGGUGACUUUCUAUGUAAUCUUAUACUGUGGGUAUUCUGACAUCACACUUCUGACUGUGGAAUUACAGUGCAGCACUCUUCAUACCUGUAUGUUAAGCUUGCAUCAAAGCUCUGCGUGGUUUUCGGUUUUAAGCUUUGUCUUGUUCAGAGUCAAUAAGCAACUUACUGUGAUUCUUAGAUGAGUAUUUUCAGACCCGAUUCCUUUGUACAUACGACUCGGCUUGGGUGGAUUUUUCUUAGUUCUGAUGUAACGAAGAUACUCUUGGAUGAGCUUUGUGGGGAAGAGGGAACGUGAUCUUAAACUCACUUAACUGGGUGCUCUCCGUGCCUAGAAAAGGACUGUUUAAACUCUCUGCAGUGACAGCGUGGCCCAUCUACAGUGCAUCCCUUUGUAGAGUCUUGGCUCAUAGGAAAUGCCUUAGUAAUCACUGCUUUAGCCUUGUGUGCACUACGUGGUAGUCACUUCCACCUUGCUAAGAGUCAGCUUUGAGACUGAUUUAUGGAACGUUUUUAAGAUCAUACAAAUAAGUGCUUGAACGAUGAUCGCUGUGAGUAGCUUAUAGAGCUUAUUGGACAUUUCAGUUGUCUUUUUAAUCUUUGACAAGCAUAAUACAUUCCUCUGCCUUUAAUUGACAGUGAUGAGAGUCUGUAUUUCUGCCUCGUAGAGUCAUCUUGGUAGUGUACUGCUGAAUUUCAGUUUCAUCAUUCUUGGGGAUGUAAUUCUAAACACUUAAUUACUAGAAACACUGAAUUUAGUGCUCCAGAAUUAACAUGCUUAUGUUUCCAGACAUCCAGACAUGCUGAUCUCCAGCUCUUUUGCAUUAGCUCUUGAACCUGAAUUUCAAGGUCCCUUGUUUCAGCACAUGAUCUAGCUCUUGUCUGAUGUUCAGUUUAUUUCAGAGGUGUUGUAACGUGUUUUCCUGCUUGUUCUGCAAAGUUCUGCCUCGCAUACUUGUUUCUGGUAUUAAUUGUCACAUUUGGACCCUUCUGUGUUACCUUCCAGGCAAGACUCUUGCUGCUUGAAGAGGGAAUCUGCUGGCCAGUCUUGCCCUCUGCUGUAGCUAUCCUUUCAUUGAAAGCUUGAAGUAGCAGCUGCACCUUAAGAUUAUAACAGCAGGUCUUUGGUUACACCACGGCGAGUGUAGCCCGACUCCAGCUAGCGAAGCAGUGACACCACUUUGGGUACCAGAAAUGACAUUAAAGUGCUUGCAUUGUGUUUCAUCUUGGUUUUAUCUGUGUGUGAAAUACACUUUUUCUCAAAAGCUUAUCUGAAGCUCAGAAGUGUGGUGUCAGAAUACAUCUGCGUACUGCUAGGCCCUCAGAUCCAGAUACUGGUGCUGUCAGGAGAGAGCACAGCACAGCGUGUAUGGGGGCUUCACUGUAACAUUAAGCAUACAAAGUGUUGAUUUGCUUGCAGUUUUCCCCCAUAGCUAAACACUGAGGCCUGUGAGUAGUUUUAGGACUCGAGCAGUAAUGGGGUUGCAUGUCUCUGUUAAUCAUUGCCAGCUGCAGUGACAUGACCAGGAAGGCCAGUGUUUCAUUCCAUUCUGUUCAAUGAGGCUAAGCCUGUUGGAAAGGAUGCAUAAAAAGUAUGCUGUCGUGGGUAAUUCCUUGGCUUCUUCCACUACUAGCAAGUUUGGAAUCAACUAAUUAGCUUCAGAUUUUUUUUUCCUCUCCAUACCAGCUAGUGGGGCUGUUAAAUAGCUGCUUACUGGAAAAGGCAAAAAAGGGAGGAUUGGCCUUCUCCCACCUCUGUCAUUGCUGCUAGAUAAUGAUUGACACGUUAGGACUUGGCUGUGCAAUCCCGCAGUGGUCUGUGAAUACCCCAUCUCUAUAAAUGUUGCUUCUGAACACCAGUACUGAAGAGCUAACUGGGGAGGGUGGGGAGGAGCGUGGCUAGAAGUGAAUCUGGAGUGUUAAAAGGAUGCACAAAGAUAUAGUAUCCCUUAUGCAUGGUGUUUGUUGCUAUGGCAUAGAAAACAAAAUGUGCAUACUCUACCUCUGCUCCUGAGGGCCAUGAUAAAACCCAGGUGGUGGGUUUGAGACUAAACUUCUCCCUGCCUGGUCGGAUCACAUUGUGACCAUGGUGUGAUCUGCCUCCCAGCUAGAGGUGUGUACUGCAUCCCUUGGCUGCUCAGCAUUGCAGUUUGCCCUCAGCUCCAGUAAAAGGCUGGGUCUUGAGAAGGGAGGAAUCUGUUGCCGAGGUCCAAAGCAGUAGUCUCACAAUGCUAACCUCUAGUGUCUUCUUUUAGCUUUUGAAGCACUUCUAGGACUAUUGAACCUGAGGGCUGCCAGGAGUCCAGGGACAUUGCCCUCCUUCAUGAAGGGGAAGAAAGAGGGUGUUACUAAGGAGACAAACUAGGGUAAAAGAGUUGAAGUAGCUUGACAAAAUUGUGAAUGCCUUCACAUAAGGGAUAGUAUACCUCUGGCUGCCAUCAAACUUCUUGUACUCAGACUGGUGAUUUACGGUUUGUGCUCAGACAAGGUGCAGUUCUUGAGUCAACUACCUGCAUAUUCCUUCAUCUCUUCACAAGUGGUUAGGUUAGCCUGUUUCUGCCCCUUAUUCUUCCACUUAAUAUCUCGGAAUAAUUUAUAAAUCCCCCCUCAUAACUAAUGAGUCCAUGUAUUUGAAAACCUUAUUUUUAAGUUAGUAUUGAAAUGGUCAGAAUUUUCUGUGUGUUACUAUAGUAACUUUGGUUGUUAUCCUUUAGGUGAAGAUGAAGGCUGAGUGAAAGCGGUGUGCUCAUCCCUGGGAAUUCAGGAGCCGAGCAUGAGCACAUCCAGCACGGUGCCCAGUGGUACGAGGAGGGACCAGGAGAGCAAGAGAAAUGGAGAUGAAGUCUGAACGCAGGGAAGAGGAGCCAGGAACACACAACUUUCAAAAAUAAAACAUUUAAUAUUUUUA
rnacentral:lncRNA from 1 species